rnacentral:rRNA from 1 species
GAUGAACGCUGGCGGCGUGCCUAAUACAUGCAAGUCGAGCGAACAGAUGAGGAGCUUGCUCCUCUGACGUUAGCGGCGGACGGGUGAGUAACACGUGGAUAACCUACCUAUAAGACUGGGAUAACUUCGGGAAACCGGAGCUAAUACCGGAUAAUAUAUUGAACCGCAUGGUUCAAUAGUGAAAGACGGUUUUGCUGUCACUUAUAGAUGGAUCCGCGCCGCAUUAGCUAGUUGGUAAGGUAACGGCUUACCAAGGCGACGAUGCGUAGCCGACCUGAGAGGGUGAUCGGCCACACUUGAACUGAGCCACGGUCCAGACUCCUACGGGAGGCAGCAGUAGGGAAUCUUCCGCAAUGGGCGAAAGCCUGACGGAGCAACGCCGCGUGAGUGAUGAAGGUCUUCGGAUCGUAAAACUCUGUUAUUAGGGAAGAACAAAUGUGUAAGUAACUAUGCACGUCUUGACGGUACCUAAUCAGAAAGCCACGGCUAACUACGUG